CUUCCGGUUCCGGGAUUCCGCUUGUUAUUAGAAAGUUUGCGGCGUCUCCGAGCCUUCGGGCCGAUAUUUGGGACUCAGGGUUCACCGAACAAAUUCUGCUGCAGCCAUGGCGGCCUCCACCGCGGCCGGGAAGCAGAGAAUUCCCAAAGUGGCCAAGGUGAAAAACAAAGCCCCAGCUGAGGUACAGAUCACUGCGGAACAGCUUUUAAGAGAAGCUAAAGAAAGAGAACUUGAGCUUCUUCCACCUCCACCUCAACAGAAGAUCACAGAUGAAGAAGAGUUAAAUGAUUACAAACUAAGGAAAAGGAAGACUUUUGAAGAUAACAUAAGAAAAAACAGGACUGUGAUUAGUAACUGGAUAAAAUACGCACAAUGGGAAGAGAGUCUAAAGGAGAUUCAAAGGGCUCGAUCCAUAUACGAACGUGCUUUAGAUGUGGACUAUCGAAAUAUUACACUCUGGCUGAAAUAUGCGGAAAUGGAAAUGAAGAAUCGCCAGGUCAACCAUGCCCGAAAUAUCUGGGACCGGGCCAUAACAACUCUGCCCCGAGUCAACCAAUUCUGGUACAAAUACACGUACAUGGAGGAGAUGCUGGGAAAUGUGGCUGGUGCUCGGCAGGUGUUUGAGCGCUGGAUGGAAUGGCAGCCUGAGGAGCAAGCCUGGCACUCCUACAUCAACUUUGAGCUGCGAUACAAAGAAGUGGAUCGAGCCCGCACCAUUUAUGAGAGAUUUGUACUUGUGCACCCUGAUGUUAAGAACUGGAUCAAGUAUGCCCGCUUUGAGGAAAAACAUGGUUAUUUUGCCCAUGCACGAAAAGUGUACGAGAGAGCUGUGGAAUUCUUUGGAGAUGAACAUAUGGAUGAACGCCUUUAUGUUGCCUUUGCCAAAUUUGAAGAAAAUCAGAAAGAAUUUGAAAGGGUACGAGUGAUAUACAAGUAUGCCCUGGAUAGAAUUUCAAAACAAGAGGCCCAAGAGCUCUUUAAAAAUUAUACCAUCUUUGAGAAGAAGUUUGGUGAUAGGCGGGGUAUUGAAGACAUCAUUGUGAGCAAACGGAGAUUCCAAUAUGAAGAAGAAGUGAAGGCUAAUCCACACAAUUAUGAUGCCUGGUUUGAUUACCUGCGCUUGGUGGAAAGUGAUGCAGAAGCAGAAACUGUACGAGAAGUCUAUGAAAGAGCUAUUGCCAAUGUCCCACCCAUUCAGGAGAAGAGACAUUGGAAGCGUUACAUCUAUCUUUGGGUCAACUAUGCACUCUAUGAAGAACUGGAGGCAAAGGAUCCUGAAAGGACAAGACAGGUAUAUCAAGCCUCUUUGGAACUAAUUCCUCAUAAAAAGUUCACAUUUGCCAAAAUGUGGCUACUAUAUGCACAAUUUGAAAUAAGACAGAAAAAUUUACCAUUUGCCCGAAGAGCUUUGGGGACUUCCAUAGGCAAAUGUCCAAAGAACAAGUUAUUUAAAGGUUACAUAGAAUUGGAGCUACAGCUUCGAGAAUUUGACAGAUGCCGGAAGCUUUAUGAAAAGUUCCUGGAAUUUGGACCUGAAAAUUGUACCUCUUGGAUUAAAUUUGCAGAAUUGGAAACAAUCCUUGGCGAUAUUGAGAGAGCCCGAGCAAUCUACGAGUUAGCCAUCAGCCAGCCACGUUUAGACAUGCCAGAGGUGCUCUGGAAAUCAUACAUUGAUUUUGAAAUUGAGCAGGAAGAAACUGAAAGAACACGCAAUCUUUACCGACGAUUGCUUCAACGGACACAACAUGUCAAGGUAUGGAUCAGUUUUGCACAGUUUGAGUUGUCUUCAGGGAAAGAAGGAAGUUUGCCUAAAUGCAGACAGAUUUAUGAAGAGGCUAACAAAACCAUGCGAAACUGUGAGGAAAAAGAAGAGAGACUUAUGUUGCUGGAAUCUUGGAGAAGCUUUGAAGAUGAAUUUGGAACUACGUCAGAUAAGGAAAGAGUAGACAAACUCAUGCCAGAGAAAGUCAAAAAGAGAAGAAAGGUCCAGGCUGAUGAUGGGUCUGAUGCAGGCUGGGAAGAAUACUAUGAUUACAUCUUUCCGGAAGAUGCUGCCAACCAACCGAAUCUCAAGCUCCUGGCCAUGGCCAAACUUUGGAAGAAACAGCAACAGGAAAAGGAGGCUGCCGAGCAAGACCCAGAUAAGGACAUUGAUGAGAGUGAAUCCUGAUCUUGUUCAUACUGAUGUUUUAUUAUUUUUAUAAAUUAAGUUUGGAACUCUGUGGCUCCUGCUGCUCAGAGCCUUUGAUAUGCUACCAUAUAUAUAUGAAUUAACAGCAACAAUGCUGGCAUGUUCCCCAAACUCGCUGGACGAGGGAGUCAUUGCUACCUAGAGUACCAGUAAGUAUCUCUCAGUGUUCUACUCAGCUCAAUGAAUCUUAAUAGCACAAGGAGAAUAAUAAUAGCAUUUGGAUAAUACAUUGCUCAUAUUCUCAAGCAAAAAAUAAUUGCCUUAAUUAACUGAUCUGAAAUUGUUUCCUUUAACUUGGCAUAUAUUUCUUAAGCCUAUCUUUUUUUGCUCUGUUGACUGCCCAAGUUAUAGAACUAUUUAUCUCUAAGACUGUUUUUCACUUAUAAGGAGAAUUAGCAAAUUUAUUAUUAAGUUUGCAAAUAUGUUACCCACAGGAAUAAAAGCUAGUUAAUGUUACUAAAUUGUAUCUUGAAAAUAAGAUAGUUUGUGAUUUUUUAAGGGCAGAAUAAAAUAGGACUGUUAGGAUAAAAGGCAACUGUUUUCAGUCUCACUGGUUCACUGGACCAGUAUCAGCUGUUGGGUAUCAGGUUCUGACUAUUGAGUAGUGAGGUCUGCCUAGUCAGUGAGGAGUAUUUGUGAUUUUAAUAUCCUUUGGCAAAGUGCGCAGUGUCAAAGGGUGAGAUGAAAACAGGCUAAAAUGCUAAUAAAAGUGACUGAUCAUAGAGUCUUGCUAAAAUUAUGUUUAUGUUGCAUGUAUGCAUAAGAAAAAAAAAUCGGAUCAAUGCAAAGUCAACACUUCCUGGGAAGUACCAGAGUGUAAUGCAUGAAGGAAAAAGUUAUUCUCUAACGGUAGAACAUAAAGGAUUCAUUUCUUGUUCACUCUUUCAACCCUACCAAAGUAAGUCCUUUCAAAAGUAACAGCUUUUUAGUAAUCAUUUCUGUGGGAUUUUCUUUACUUCUUUUACUCCAUGUUUUCAUAUAUUACAGGUGAUGAAAACUACACAUGAAAGUAUGUUGUUGGUCUAUUAUCUAGUUACAUGACCUUUAGGAUUUAGGUUCUUUUUCCCCUUUGAAUAAACCGCAACAUCUUUUUAUAAUUUAAAAGGCAUGAUUUAAGUAAAAUAUAUAUGAGAUACGGAAAGGAUCUAGAACUAACAGUAUGAAAACAAUAACUGGGAAGAAUUUAUUUUGAAAUAAGGAAGCUUAAGUAUGCUGGUCAGAAACUAUUUCAAGUAUGCAUUUUAAAAAUGUUCUAUAUAUAAAUAAAUAAGCAUAUCCUAAAUGAUGCUUUCUCAAUCUUAAUUUAGUUUUACAAACUUCCAAAAAACAUUUAUAGAGUCAACAGUGCACUUUAUUAUACAUCUUAGAUUUAACAUUUCAUAUAUGGUUUUAAAGCUUCAAUCAAUAGUUCAAUACAAAAUAAAAAAUAUAUAUAUAUAUAUGCAGCAGUGGUUCUCAGGCAUAGAAUUUAUGAGGAGAUUGGAGCUUUUUUCCCCCAGCAUAUAGUGAAUAUUAUGAACUCUGAUAGAAUGUUUCCAUCUGACUUAGCUGCCUUUCUGAUGGAAUUUUAUUACAGUGGACCGCUUCAGUAGGUAUGAUGUUGCUACCUGGAAACAGUAAAAUUUAAAACAUUUUCUUUUAGUCUUUAAGAUCUAAAUAAGCACUUUUCUCUAACAGAACUCUAAUGCCAUCCAAUAAAAAUAAUAUUGUCCAUAAAAUAUCUGGACUUGAUGACCGUUCCUCCUCCUGCCUGCAGGCCUGGCACUAGGAUUUCAGGUCAAUCGUAAAUUGAAAGUGAUUUUCUUCACUCAGAGAAUAUCAGGAUAAUGGGAUUAUCUGUUUGUUCUCCGAAAACAAACAAA